rnacentral:lncRNA from 10 species
GGACACCGAGGCUGGCUGGGGCACGAGGCACAGCAGGCUGGAAGAAGGAGUGGGCCUGGCCCACACCGAGAGGCUCUGUCCUCGGCUGUAGCCCUGGGUUCACCUGGCUCCAUUUGCAGCUGACUGACUAAGUCAGCCAUGCCCUGCAAGCCUCAGCAUCAGCAGCACUUGGCAGCUCAGCUUCUGAGAGAGCCUCUGUUUUCUCUUCAGGAAGAUAGGGCUGUUGAUAUCAGUACCCACCUCCUAGAGCUCUUGUGAGGCCUCGUGGAGUUAAUGUGCAUCAGGUGUGUCACACAGAGUUUGGCUUGGAUGAGUGUGGACUCAGUGGCAGCGCCUGCCUGUUCUUCUCGUAGCUUUGGGAUGUGGUUUUUCAGGUGGCUGAGGAUCUCUGAUGUUCAGGAUGGUUGAGCUACACAUGGCUGUGUCUAGUGCCCCCUGAAGGAGAGGCAGGAAAUGAGAUGGGGGUCCCUGGUGAACUGAGGGGUGCUGCUCCUGCUCUCCACUGAGGAGCAGAGGGUGAGCUCAUGACCCCAGCCCUCAGACCCUGCCUCUCCAGAGCCAGCCCAGUUGAGGGUCAGAGGCACAGACAGAAAGGUCUUUGGGGAGCUCUGGCCUGGAGAGAGGAUGCACAGUGCACUCCCUAAUGGUGGGGCCUGCAAGGCAGAGCUGAGGCCCCUUGUCUUCUGCCAAAUGAUGUUUCAGAAUCAGUUAGCUGAGCUGCUUCCCCACUAAAGGACAGGCUGUUCCUCCACCCUCCCCUCAUCCCCAUAGCUUAGAGACUGAGCAGUCUGGUUACCCAUUUCUCCUCAUGCAUCCCCAACCUUCAAAGGGCCAGCAGAGAAGCCAGGACCCAAUGGGCCUUAAUCAUGGACCUUUCUCCUUACCUGGACCCAGUUCAAUCCAGGCACUGACCUGGUGUCUUCAUCUUCAUCCACCUGCCCAAGAAGACUUCUCUUCCUUCUGUGUCUGAAUUCCAUGAUGAGGACUUCAUCCCUGUGGUCAAAGCUCAGCAGCCCCACCCCAACUCACUCCCAACAGGAGAUGCCACAUGUCAAGCAUUCUCGGUCAUUUUCUCUGCUGUAUGGGGGGAUCCAUGCAGGUGGGGCAAUGGCACCAAACCACUUUUAUCUUCCAGAAAAACUAGAAAUUUAUACCCUCAGAAUGAUCCUGUCAUAUUUCUUUGGCUUUCUCUCUUGUUAUCCCACUCUUAUCCCCUCAUCAGCAAUGCAGCUUCAGCUGCACCAGUCUAGGGGAGUCCCACCUCCCCUGUGGCAUAUGCAUGUGCCAUGCAUGUUUCUGCUUCCGUCCCUUUCCACAUGUGCCCUGGCCAGGAAUGCCUUCUUCUCUUGCUUAUUCAUCUUCCCCAAACAUUAAGGCUCAGCUCAAUUCCACUCCAUGCCUUCCACCUCAGGAGAUCACUGUCUGCUGAGAUCUUUUAGCAUUUACCAUCCUCAACACCACUACUUGGCUCCUGCCAAAUACUGUUUUGCUCUUUGUGUAGAUUACUUUGUAUGCAAAUCUUUUUUUUUUUUUUUUGAGACAGUCUGGCUCUGUCACCCAGGCUGGAGUGCAGUGGCAUGAUCUCGGCCCACUGCAACCUCUGCCUUCUGGGCUCAAGCAAUCUUCCCACAUCAGCCUCUGGAGUAGCUGGGACUACAGGUGUGCACCACCACACCCGGCUUAUUUUUGUAUUUUUUCGUAGAGGCAGGGUUUCAUCAUGUUGCCCAGCCUGGUCACAAAUUCCUAGGCUCAAGUAAUCUGCCUGUCUUGGCCUCCCAAAUUGUUGGGAUUACAGGCAUGAGCCACUGAGCCUGGUUCUUAUGCAGAUCUUUUAUCUGCCCAACUAGAUUUCAAGCCUUUUUAGGGGAAGGACAUUGCUUCAAACUAUCCCAGACCCUACAUCUAUGGGAAUAUGACCUAUUUUUUUUUUUUCAUGGAGGUGAAAAAUAGCUUAACCCAAAUAUGAGGACAAUGGGAUUUUUCACAAGGUAGGAGACUGGUUGGGAGGUGUUUGAUGGGGAUGACGGGGGGUCCUUUCUGGAUCCCCUGCCUGUGUGUCACCCUGUGAAUAGUACUCACACUGGCUCUUCAUGUAAAGAUGAGUAGGUCAAGCGAUGCUCUGUGGGUCUGCUCCAGUGUGGGCGGAAUGCAGCGCUCAAGGUUCGCAGGCUGCUGUCCGUGGUCCUGAACUACCACCUUCUGUGGAGGAAACCUGGGUACUGAUUUUGGUGACUCUUAUCUAACACCUCCCAGGGGUUAUAGUUUUAACGUCUUACUUUUUUUUUCUAGCUGUUUAAACUUUUGAAAUUUUCAGAUAAUUAAUUAGAAUCAUGGCUUUGUUUCUCAAAAUUCUCAAAAAUUCAUGGAGCUUUAUCAGAUUUCCAAUAGUCAGACAUUUUUUACCUUUGAGAAACUGGAGGUGAAGUCAUAUGUCUCCUCCAUCAUGUCGCUCACAAUAUUUUUAUGAUUUUAAGACCCAGCUUGCUCCAUGAAGUAGUGCAUUCCCACAUUUUUACAUCAUUUUGUAGACAUCAUAUUAGCUUUACCUCUUACUGACUGGGUGAACAUGGACAGGCCAAUUCACCUAUAUUGGCCUCAAUUUUCUCUUUCUAAAAUUAUGGCAGUAACUAGGCACAGUGACUCAUGCCUGUAAUUCCAGCACUUUGGGAGGCCAACGCAGAGGAUCCAUUGAGCUCAGGAGCUCAAGACCAGCCUGGGCAAUAUAGUGAGAUUCCCAUCUCUACAAAAAAUAGAAAAAAAUAGGCAUGAUGGCACAUGCCUGUAGCCCCAGCUACUCAGGAGGCUUAAGGAGGAGGAUCAAUUAAUCCCAAGAAGUAGAGGCUGCAGUGAGCCUUGAUCUUACCACUUCACUGUAGCCUGGGUGACAGAAUGAGACUCUAUCUCAAAAUAAUAAUAAUAAUAAUAAUAAUAAUAAUAAUAAUAAUAAUAAUAAAGUAAAAUGGUGGGAGUGAUGGUGCAGAAGAUUUGGACUUGAUUAUCUCAGAGAUCCCUUUCUUUGCUGAAGUGGUGGCUCCUGAUUCAAUGCCCCUGUCUCUCACAUCUCUGUGAGCCUUUCCUCCCAAGCUCUUUAAAAUAAACAAGAAAAUCUAGGUCAUUCCCUGCAUCAAGCUCAAAGGCAGUUUCUCACAAAUGGCCUUACUUCAAUUGCUAGUAACAAGGGGAGGGCUUCUGCAUGUGAGACCCACUCCCAUCGCAGAAGGACAUUCAAAAACACCCGUUCCUCUUCUCUCAUGUAGCGGUGACCUUACCCAUAUCCCAGCUUUCCUGCUGGAAGUCACGUGUUAAAAAGCACUUGGUCCCACAUGUAAGCAGUAGGGAGGUGUCUACACAUUCUGGAGUAGGUCUGUGCCUGAACAGGAGGUUUUGAGGACAGCAAAGGCUACUGAGUUGGCCUCAGAACCAGGGAGCCUUCCCAGCGUGGAGGAUCUCAGAGGCCUCCUGCUGCUGUCAUAUCCCUGAUGAAGGGGCUCAGAAGAAUCCACAGCCUCCCUCUCCCAUCAGCCCCCUUGGCUCCCAGCUCCAGGACAAGUGGUUCAGGGCCAGUGGGUAGAUAAAGCCCUCGCUUAAGCCUGGACCUCCCUAGGUGUUGCAACCACCUCAUCCUUAGAUCCCAGUGAGAGAUCUUAUUCCUGAGGCAUUGAGUGCUAAUAAAUAAUAAAUGCCGCUCCCUCUCCCUCUCCCUCUCCCUCUCCCGCUCCCGCUCCCUCUCCCGCUCCCUCCUCUCCCUCCUCUCCCUCUCC